rnacentral:rRNA from 1 species
CAAUAGCGUAUACUAAAGUUGUUGCAGUUAAAAAGCUCGUAGUUGGAUUUCUGGUCUUGGACGGCGGUCCGCCACAAUUGUGGCGCGUACCAACUGUCCGAGUCCAUCCUCGGGGAAGACAUGCCUGUGAUUUAGUUCAUGGGUAUGGAGUCCUCGUCAUUUACUGUGAGCAAAAUAGAGUGUUCAAAGCAGGCUUAUGCCGUUGAAUACAUUAGCAUGGAAUAAUGGAAUAGGACUACGGUCUCUUUGUUGGUUUGAGGGACUGCAGUAAUGAUUAAUAGGGAUAGUUGGGGGCAUUAGUAUUUAAUUGUCAGAGGUGGAAUUCUCGGAUUUGUUAAAGACUAACUUAUGCGAAAGCAUUUGCCAAGGAUGUUUUCAUUAAUCAAGAACGAAAGUUAGGGGAUCAAAGAUGAUCAGAUACCGU